UCAAGUUAUUAAGGGUGCAGGGCGGAUGCCUUGGCACUAGGAGCCGAUGAAGGACGUGAUAAGCUGCGAUAAGCUUCGGGGAGUUGCACGUAAACUUUGAUCCGAAGAUUUCCGAAUGAGGAAACUCACUUAGAGUAAUGUCUAAGUAUCAUUAAGUGAAUACAUAGCUUAAUGAGGGGAACUCAGGGAACUGAAACAUCUAAGUACCUGAAGGAAGAGAAAGAAAUUCGAUUCCGUAAGUAGCGGCGAGCGAACGCGGAUUAGCCCAAACCAAUAAAGUUUUCUUUAUUGGGGUUGCGGACAUAUCAUAACGAAGAGGUAUCGUAAUUGAAGAGGUUUGGAAAGACCCACCACAGAAGGUAAUAGUCCUGUAUGUUAAACGAGAAGACUUCAGAUAUGAUCCAGAGUACCACGGGACACGUGAAACCCUGUGGGAAGCAGGAGGGACCACCCUCCAAGGCUAAAUACUACCUAGUGACCGAUAGCGUAUAGUACCGUGAGGGAAAGGUGAAAAGAACCCCGGGAGGGGAGUGAAAUAGAACCUGAAACCCUGCACUUACAAGCUGUGGAAGCACAUUUCUUGUGUGACCGCGUACUUUUUGUAGAACGGGCCAACGAGUUACGUUAAGUAGCAAGGUUAAGCACUUAAGGUGUGGAGCCGUAGCGAAAGCGAGUUUUAACUGAGCGUUCAGUUACUUGACGUAGACCCGAAACCGGGCGACCUACCCAUGAGCAGGAUGAAGCGAAAGUAAAAUUUCGUGGAGGUCCGAACCCACGAGCGUUGAAAAGCUCGGGGAUGACUUGUGGGUAGCGGUGAAAUUCCAAUCGAGCCCGGAGAUAGCUGGUUCUCCCCGAAAUAGCUUUAGGGCUAGCCUCAAGGUGAGAGAUACGGAGGUAGAGCACUGAAUGUCCUAGGGGGUAUUGCACCUACCGAAGACUAUCAAACUCCGAAUGCCGUCAUCUUAUACUUGGGAGUCAGACUGUGGGUGAUAAGAUUCAUAGUCGAAAGGGCAACAGCCCAGAUCGUCAGCUAAGGUCCCUAAAUGUAAGUUAAGUGGUAAAGGAUGUGGGAUUGCACAGACAACCAGGAUGUUGGCUUAGAAGCAGCCACUCAUUCAAAGAGUGCGUAAUAGCUCACUGGUCGAGUGAUCCUGCGCCGAAGAUUUCCGGGGCUAAAACUUACUACCGAAGCUACGGCAUCAGUAAUGAUGGGUAGGGGAGCUUCCCAUACGGGUUGAAGCAUGACCGUAAGGACAUGUGGACAGUAUGGGAGUGAGAAUGUUGGCAUGAGUAGCGAGAUGUGGGUGAGAAUCCCACAGGCCGUAAACCCAAGGUUUCCAGGGGAAGGUUCGUCCGCCCUGGGUUAGUCGGGACCUAAGCUGAGGCCGAAAGGCGUAGGUGAUGGACAACAGGUUGAUAUUCCUGUACUACCGAUAACCGUUUGAGAGAAGGGAUGACACAGUAGGAUAAGCUAAGCACACUGUUGGUUAUGUGUGCCCAAGCAUUGAGGCAGUCAAAGUAGGCAAAUCCGCUUUGAUAAUGCUGGGAUGUGAUGGGGAGCGAAAUUUAGUAGCGAAGUAGCUGAUUUCACACUGUCAAGAAAAGUCUCUAUCGAGGUUAAAGGUACCCGUACCGCAAACCGACACAGGUGGGUGAGGAGAGUAUCCUAAGGCCAGCGAGAGAACUGUUGUUAAGGAACUCGGCAAAAUGACCCCGUAACUUAGGGAUAAGGGGUGCCACCAUCAGGUGGCCGCAGAGAAUAGGCCCAAGCGACUGUUUACCAAAAACAUAGGUUUCUGCUAAGUCGCAAGACGAUGUAUAGGAGCUGACGCCUGCCCGGUGCUGGAAGGUUAAGGGGAUCUGUUAGAGCAAUCGAAGCAGUGAACUUAAGCCCCAGUAAACGGCGGCCGUAACUAUAACGGUCCUAAGGUAGCGAAAUUCCUUGUCGGGUAAGUUCCGACCCGCACGAAAGGCGUAACGAUUUGGGCACUGUCUCAACAACAGACUCGGUGAAAUUGUAAUUCCGGUGAAGAUGCCGGAUACCUGCGACAGGACGGAAAGACCCCAUGGAGCUUUACUGUAGCUUGACAUUGGGUCUUGGUACUACAUGUACAGGAUAGGUGGGAGGCUUUGAAACCAGGACGCCAGUUUUGGCGGAGCCAUCCUUGGGAUACCACCCUUGUAGUACUGGGACUCUAACCAUAGGCCAUGAAUCUGGUCUUGGGACACUGUCAGGUGGGCAGUUUGACUGGGGCGGUCGCCUCCCAAAAGGUAACGGAGGCGCUCAAAGGUUCUCUCAGUACGGUCGGAAAUCGUACGUAGAGUGUAAAGGCAAAAGAGAGCUUGAUUGCAAGACAUACAGGUCGAGCAAGGAUGAAAAUCGGCCUUAGUGAUCCGGUGGUUCUGCGUGGAAGGGCCAUCGCUCAACGGAUAAAAGCUACCCUGGGGAUAACAGGCUUAUCUCCCCCAAGAGUCCACAUCGACGGGGAGGUUUGGCACCUCGAUGUCGGCUCAUCACAUCCUGGGGCUGUAGUAGGUCCCAAGGGUUGGGCUGUUCGCCCAUUAAAGUGGUACGCGAGCUGGGUUCAGAACGUCGUGAGACAGUUCGGUCCCUAUCCGUCGCAGGCGUAGGAAAUUUGAGAAGACCUGUCCUUAGUACGAUAGGACCGGGAUGGCCGUACCUCUGGUGUACCAGUUGUUCUGCCAAGGGCAUGGCUGGGUAGCUAUGUACGGAAUGGAUAAGCGCUGAAAGCAUCUAAGCGCGAAGCCAACUUCAAGAUAAGAUUUCCCACCGCAAGGGUAAGACCCCAGAAAGACUAUCUGGUUGAUAGGUCGAAGGUGUAAGUGCAGCAAUGUAUUUAGCUUAUCGAUACUAAUAGGUCGAGGACUUGACCAA
rnacentral:rRNA from 1 species